rnacentral:rRNA from 1 species
GACGAACGCUGGCGGCGUGCUUAACACAUGCAAGUCGAGCGGUAAGGCCCUUUCGGGGGUACACGAGCGGCGAACGGGUGAGUAACACGUGGGUGACCUGCCCUCAGCUCUGGGAUAAGCCUGGGAAACCGGGUCUAAUACUGGAUAUGACUCCAUGACGCAUGUUGUGGGGUGGAAAGCCUUGUGCGGCUGAGGAUGGGCCCGCGGCCUAUCAGCUUGUUGGUGGGGUGANGGCUUACCAAGGCGACGACGGGUAGCCGGCCUGAGAGGGCGACCGGCCACACUGGGACUGAGACACGGCCCAGACUCCUACGGGAGGCAGCAGUGGGGAAUCUUGCGCAAUGGGCGAAAGCCUGACGCAGCGACGCCGCGUGAGGGAUGACGGCCU